rnacentral:misc_RNA from 1 species
GAUGAAGAACGUAGCGAAAUGCGAUAAGUAAUGUGAAUUGCAGAAUUCAGUGAAUCAUCGAAUCUUUGAACGCACAUUGCGCCCUGUGGUAUUCCGCAGGGCAUGCCUGUUCGAGCGUCAUUGACACCCUCAAGCUCUGCUUGGUCUUGGGCGUUUGUGCCUGCCGUUGCGCAGGGACUCGCCUCAAACUCAUUGGCAGCCUGCCUUUGCCGGUCUUUGCACAGCACAGUCGUGCCAAAGCCGCGGUGAGCAGGCGCUCCACAAGCCCUUUUCAGCUUGACCUCGGAUCAGGUAGGAAUACACGCUGAACUUAAGCAUAUCAAUAAGCGGAGGA